rnacentral:rRNA from 1 species
ACACCGGCGGCCCGAGUGGUGAUCGUGAUUAUUGGGUCUAAAGGGUCCGUAGCCGGUUUGGUCAGUCCUCCGGGAAAUCUGAUAGCUCAACUAUUAGGCUUUCGGGGGAUACUGCCAGACUUGGAACCGGGAGAGGUAAGAGGUACUACAGGGGUAGGAGUGAAAUCUUGUAAUCCCUGUGGGACCACCUGUGGGGAAGGCGUCUUACCAGACCGGGGCCGAGGGUGGGGGACGAAAGCUGGGGGCACGAACCGGAUUAGAUCCCCGGGUAGUCCCAGCCGUAAACGAUGCUCGCUAGGUGUCAGGCAUGGCGCGACCGUGUCUGGUGCCGCAGGGAAGCCGUGAAGCGAGCCACCUGGGAAGUACGGCCGCUAGGCUGAAACUUAAAGGAAUUGGCGGGG